ACACAGCAAGUUGAAAUGAAUCACAAGACUGGAAGUGUCAGGUGUGGAUUCUGAUGAGCUGCUUUAUAAUUUACUAAAGAAGUUGUUUAUGUUUUGUCUGUACCAAGUUGAAUCGGAGUACAACACAGCAAGUUGAAAAGAAUCACAAGACUGGAAGUGUCAGGUGUGGAAUUCUGAUGAGCUGCUUUAUAAUUUACUAUAGAAGUUAUUUAUGUUUUG
rnacentral:lncRNA from 1 species